rnacentral:lncRNA from 1 species
GCUAAUGUUGCAUCUGUUUUUGAGAUUAUAGACUGAUAAAGAAGCAGGUAGAAGAGUUGUUAUAAGGUCUAACAAAUGUUAACGAGAAGACCUCAUCACUGGGAUCGAUAAUUGAAAUUAUGAGGUCUUGACUCUUGAGUAAUUAAGAUUAAAGGAGCUAAUGUGAUUACUUUUUGAAACUAGAGGGGCUACAAAGAGGAAUUUACUCUUAAAUUUCUACUCUUAUUUCUCGAAAUUCCUUUGAAGAGGAUGUAGUCUACCUUGUUUGGAACAUUAUACUAUGUAUAAAGUUAUGUGGUUUCACUUCUCUAUCCUCCUCCACGGACUUGGUCUCAAUUCUCUGCGGGCCUGCCAAUUUUCUCUUCUGAUUUUAGCUUGAACUUUUCCUUGCGCAGAGUUUUACAUAUUUGAAUAACUAAGGCCCAGCCAACAUUAUCUUUUCGGUCACUUGAGAGGCUCAAAGGCCCAGAAAACAAACCUAACUUUCACGGUCGCAGACUGGAAUAAGCCCCUCAAAGAUCCCUGUCAGUGCCUGCGGAGGUUGAGGAUAAAACUAGAUAGCGGGGCUGCAUCAAAAAAAAAAUUUCAACCUGAAAAAAUUUUUAGAAGAUGACUGUGUUUUAAAAUAAAUAAAAUAAAUUUGAUAUUUGAAUUAAUUUGAUAUUAUGAUAAAAAAAAAAUAAACAACAACAGCAGAAAAUAAAUUAAAAAAAAAUAUUGCCCUAAGCAAAGUUGGAUUACACACACGAAACUCGAGAUCUACGAGUUUAAGAUAACUCUAUAAAAGAAUAAUAUCAACCAAAGUUAAUUGUGAAAAAAGAUUUUAAAAAAAAAAUCUCAAAAGAUUUCAAAAAAUUGAACUAGUGGUUGUUCAGAAUUUUUUCCAAGUUCAUGUUUUGGAGUCAAGUAUUUAAAGAAGUGAUUUUAAAAUAUAUAUAUAUAUAUAUAUAUAUAUAUAUAUAUAUAUAUAUAUAUAUAUAUAUAUAUGAUAUUGGCAAGGUAGAUGUAUUUUUAAAAUCGUUUGAAGUGAGAUUUAAGACUGAUAUAGGUGAUCUCGAGAACAAUGCUACCUUCUUAGGAAAAUAAUCACAAAAUAAUAUGAGUGUACUCUUAUUUUUUAAGAUCUUACAGCUUAUUUUCUUCCUUGUUAACGAGUGACAAUGCCAACGAUAAUUGAACUGCAUAUGAAUCAGACUAGCCCAGCUAUCCAAGGCACCUUUGGACUGAUAGAGACUCGCCUUCUCUGUUCAUCAAUCAUGGUCUGACCAUGGUGGUCCAGUAGACAACUGAUGUGGUUCUAGGCGGGGAACACAACAACAUGCUUCGUUGGUGCGAGUAGCUGUAUCAAUCUCGAGGAAAAAAAACAGGAAGAGGAAGAGGAAGACAUUCAAUUUGUGGAAGAGAAAGAUCUUAAAAAGAAAAAAGAAAAAAAGGGUCAUUUCCUACGUGAAAUUGAAAGGUGUUGAUUGUAUAAUUCUCGGUGUCCAACGUCUUUGAAAAUUGAAAAGAGUAAAAGAUCUCAUUGGUUUUCGCAUCGAGAGGGAGGCGUCCAUGUUUUUCUGGGCGGCGUGUG